GACGAACGCUGGCGGCGUGCCUAACACAUGCAAGUCGAACGAAACUUCUUUAAAGGAUUUCUUCGGAAUGAAUUUGAUUAAGUUUAGUGGCGGACGGGUGAGUAACGCGUGAGUAACCUGCCUCUAAGAGGGGAAUAACAUUCUGAAAAGAAUGCUAAUACCGCAUAACAUAUAUUUAUCGCAUGGUAGAUAUAUCAAAGAUUUAUCGCUUAGAGAUGGACUCGCGUCCGAUUAGUUAGUUGGUGAGGUAACGGCUCACCAAGACCGCGAUCGGUAGCCGGACUGAGAGGUUGAACGGCCACAUUGGGACUGAGACACGGCCCAGACUCCUACGGGAGGCAGCAGUGGGGGAUAUUGCGCAAUGGGGGCAACCCUGACGCAGCAACGCCGCGUGAAGGAUGAAGGUUUUCGGAUUGUAAACUUCUUUUAUUAAGGACGAA
rnacentral:rRNA from 1 species